GAGACACCCUUAUGAAGCAGGACUUGCUUCAGUGGGGCUUUGUGCUCACUGAGUCUUCCCCUUAAGUGUGUUGCU
rfam:Myotis lucifugus cont2.48404, whole genome shotgun sequence.